AAUUCCUCAGAACUUGAUGCCAAAUUUACAAUUCUUUAAAAUUUGAUGACUGGUUUUGAUUCCUAGUUGAAAUCUUUUUCAAACAACAGAGUUAAAGUUUCAGACUUAGAGAGUACACCAUUUUUUCAGAAACUGGUAACUUAAGUUCUGAUAUGAAAAAGUUCAAGAGCUUCUGAUGUUCUUAACUUUUCCCUGCAGGACCAGUAACAAACUAUUCUUCGAAGUAGUUGUUAGCAGUAACACUAAAAAUAUUUGGGUUCUAAUUCAUGAAUAUAGGUAUAUCAAAAUCAAUUACG
rnacentral:lncRNA from 1 species